AUUUAAGAGCUGACUACCACUGGGGAAGGAUCUCUUCUGGAGAUGCUCCUUUUGGAUCUUCCCAGCGAGCUAAGGACCUUCCCACCAACGUUCUUUUACAUUUUGCUUCUGCGUGACAGAUGGCAGAAGAGUGGCAGGCUGAAUUUAAAGCUUUAUGGCAUGUCAUCUACCAUCAGGAACAGGGCACCCAGACUUCGCAUUUCCUUUGAAAACCUCUAACACAAUUAGAGAUUACAGCCAGCAAAAGCCAGCUGCAAGAAGAUGCAGCCCAAAUAAAGCAACAGAACUCUGCUCUGCAGGGGACAGAAGCCCAUUUAUGGCAAAGGGCUGAAGAGACAGGCAAGUUAGUUUAAAAAAAAAAACCAAAAAACUGCCACAGCUGAAAGACAAGAAGGCCUCAAAAACUAUUCACCAGUGGUACAGAAAAGCAGCUCCUAAAUAAUGAGACAUCACCUCAAGAGAUUUCAGAAGCCCUUCAAUGAAGUGAUUACCCAGUUCUGAAAUGAUAAAAGUUUUACACACACAGACAUCAACAGAAAACCAAGUGAAGAAAUCACAUUUAUAGAUUUGGGUCAUCCAUGAGAUCCAAAGAGCAAACUUUCAAAAAAAAAAAAAAAUUCACCUGAGGUUCAGCUGAAACUAUCAAAUGACAAUCAAAAUCCCUUUAAAAUCCUAAUAUGAAGAUGCCAGAUUUCUGUUUUUGUAGAAGACUUGGGAUGCUAAACUAUCUGAAACCUGUAAUUAAUGGACCAUUUUUUCCUGUGCUGAGUAGUAUUGCAGUCAGAAUACUGAAAACGUCAAGGAGCUUAGGAAGUGCUUCCAGACUUUUAUUUUAAUGUAGGAGUGAAUCUUCAAGACUAGGUAAAGAAGAAUUACAAAGAAGCUUUGAAAAUACUUUGAUAUAGGUACAGGUUGUUUAAAAAAAUGGAAAUACUUAAAAUAUGUAUAAUUAAACAUCUCUGAGAAACUUAAUGCUGAAAAACACUUGACAAAAAUUACAUUCCAAAGAUACAAAUUGUAUGAGGUCUAGCCAUAGUUAUUUUAUUGUUUUAAUAGAGUAACACUUGAAAGAAAAGUAUCCCAGAGAACAUUCUGGCUGUUUUAGUACUCAGACUAUGGAUCCAGCUCUGGUAGGAAAUUGAAUUUGCAAUUUGUAUUUAGGAAUAAAUAAAUAAUCCAAGUAUUUUUACAGCACUGGAAGACUGACAAAUGUUGCAAUCAAAAAAAAAAAAACCACAACCCCCAACUUCCCAAAAUUUACUGUCUUACCUCUUAAUUUCCUGAUCACGUCUUAAUUAGGGGCCUGGAAAAUCUUUCUGCACUUAUUUUUAUUUCUAUUUUAAGUUUUGCAAGGGACAUAAAGCACAGUUUUGCUGACUAAUGACUAAUGCAGAGAAAUACUGUCUGACUCUCCUCUCACGAAGUCAAUGCUCCAGAUCCU